rnacentral:rRNA from 1 species
CGGGUGAGUAACACGUAAGUAAUCUACCUUUGAGUGGGGAAUAACAGUCGGAAACGACUGCUAAUACCGCAUAAUGCAGCGGCACCGCAAGGUGACAGUUGUUAAAGGAGCAAUUCGCUUGAAGAGGAGCUUGCGGCAGAUUAGCUUGUUGGUAAGGUAACGGCUUACCAAGGCUACGAUCUGUAACCGGUCUUAGAGGACGGUCGGUCACACUGACACUGAAUAACGGGUCAG